GGUUAAGCGACUAAGCGUACACGGUGGAUGCCCUGGCAGUCAGAGGCGAUGAAGGACGUGCUAAUCUGCGAUAAGCGCCGGUAAGGUGAUAUGAACCGUUAUAACCGGCGAUUUCCGAAUGGGGAAACCCAGUGUGAUUCGUCACACUAUCAUUAACUGAAUCCAUAGGUUAAUGAGGCGAACCGGGGGAACUGAAACAUCUAAGUACCCCGAGGAAAAGAAAUCAACCGAGAUUCCCCCAGUAGCGGCGAGCGAACGGGGAGGAGCCCAGAGCCUGAAUCAGCAUGUGUGUUAGUGGAAGCGUCUGGAAAGGCGCGCGAUACAGGGUGACAGCCCCGUACACAAAAGCGCAUGUGCUGUGAGCUCGAUGAGUAGGGCGGGACACGUGGUAUCCUGUCUGAAUAUGGGGGGACCAUCCUCCAAGGCUAAAUACUCCUGACUGACCGAUAGUGAACCAGUACCGUGAGGGAAAGGCGAAAAGAACCCCGGCGAGGGGAGUGAAAAAGAACCUGAAACCGUGUACGUACAAGCAGUGGGAGCCCCACCACUAAGCCAGUGGUGAACUCCACAUACGCAUCCUUUGCUGAGGAUACGGUUAACGGAGCGAAAGCGACGUUCAACCGCAAAAGAAGCAGAGGGGGCUUAGUGGUGGGGUGACUGCGUACCUUUUGUAUAAUGGGUCAGCGACUUAUAUUCUGUAGCAAGGUUAACCGAAUAGGGGAGCCGGAGGGAAACCGAGUCUUAAUUGGGCGUUAAGUUGCAGGGUAUAGACCCGAAACCCGGUGAUCUAGCCAUGGGCAGGUUGAAGGUUGGGUAACACUAACUGGAGGACCGAACCGACUAAUGUUGAAAAAUUAGCGGAUGACCUGUGGCUGGGGGUGAAAGGCCAAUCAAACCGGGAGAUAGCUGGUUCUCCCCGAAAGCUAUUUAGGUAGCGCCUCGUGAAUUCAUCUCCGGGGGUAGAGCACUGUUUCGGCUAGGGGGCCAUCCCGGCUUACCAACCCGAUGCAAACUGCGAAUACCGGAGAAUGUUAUCACGGGAGACACACGGCGGGUGCUAACGUCCGUCGUGAAGAGGGAAACAACCCAGACCGCCAGCUAAGGUCCCAAAGUCAUGGUUAAGUGGGAAACGAUGUGGGAAGGCCCAGACAGCCAGGAUGUUGGCUUAGAAGCAGCCAUCAUUUAAAGAAAGCGUAAUAGCUCACUGGUCGAGUCGGCCUGCGCGGAAGAUGUAACGGGGCUAAACCAUGCACCGAAGCUGCGGCAGCGACACUGUGUGUUGUUGGGUAGGGGAGCGUUCUGUAAGCCUGUGAAGGUGUGUCGUGAGGCAUGCUGGAGGUAUCAGAAGUGCGAAUGCUGACAUAAGUAACGAUAAAGCGGGUGAAAAGCCCGCUCGCCGGAAGACCAAGGGUUCCUGUCCAACGUUAAUCGGGGCAGGGUGAGUCGACCCCUAAGGCGAGGCCGAAAGGCGUAGUCGAUGGGAAACGGGUUAAUAUUCCCGUACUUGGUGUUACUGCGAAGGGGGGACGGAGAAGGCUAUGUUGGCCGGGCGACGGUUGUCCCGGUUUAAGCGUGUAGGUGUGUGUUCCAGGUAAAUCCGGUUCACUUUAACACUGAGGCGUGACGACGAGGCACUACGGUGCUGAAGCAACAAAUGCCCUGCUUCCAGGAAAAGCCUCUAAGCAUCAGGUAACAUCAAAUCGUACCCCAAACCGACACAGGUGGUCAGGUAGAGAAUACCAAGGCGCUUGAGAGAACUCGGGUGAAGGAACUAGGCAAAAUGGUGCCGUAACUUCGGGAGAAGGCACGCUGACAUGUAGGUGAAGUGAUUUACUCAUGGAGCUGAAGUCAGUCGAAGAUACCAGCUGGCUGCAACUGUUUAUUAAAAACACAGCACUGUGCAAACACGAAAGUGGACGUAUACGGUGUGACGCCUGCCCGGUGCCGGAAGGUUAAUUGAUGGGGUCAGCGCAAGCGAAGCUCCUGAUCGAAGCCCCGGUAAACGGCGGCCGUAACUAUAACGGUCCUAAGGUAGCGAAAUUCCUUGUCGGGUAAGUUCCGACCUGCACGAAUGGCGUAAUGAUGGCCAGGCUGUCUCCACCCGAGACUCAGUGAAAUUGAACUCGCUGUGAAGAUGCAGUGUACCCGCGGCAAGACGGAAAGACCCCGUGAACCUUUACUAUAGCUUGACACUGAACAUUGAGCCUUGAUGUGUAGGAUAGGUGGGAGGCUUUGAAGUGUGGACGCCAGUCUGCAUGGAGCCGACCUUGAAAUACCACCCUUUAAUGUUUGAUGUUCUAACGUGGACCCGUUACCCGGGUUGCGGACAGUGUCUGGUGGGUAGUUUGACUGGGGCGGUCUCCUCCUAAAGAGUAACGGAGGAGCACGAAGGUUGGCUAAUCCUGGUCGGACAUCAGGAGGUUAGUGCAAUGGCAUAAGCCAGCUUGACUGCGAGCGUGACGGCGCGAGCAGGUGCGAAAGCAGGUCAUAGUGAUCCGGUGGUUCUGAAUGGAAGGGCCAUCGCUCAACGGAUAAAAGGUACUCCGGGGAUAACAGGCUGAUACCGCCCAAGAGUUCAUAUCGACGGCGGUGUUUGGCACCUCGAUGUCGGCUCAUCACAUCCUGGGGCUGAAGUAGGUCCCAAGGGUAUGGCUGUUCGCCAUUUAAAGUGGUACGCGAGCUGGGUUUAGAACGUCGUGAGACAGUUCGGUCCCUAUCUGCCGUGGGCGCUGGAGAACUGAGGGGGGCUGCUCCUAGUACGAGAGGACCGGAGUGGACGCAUCACUGGUGUUCGGGUUGUCAUGCCAAUGGCACUGCCCGGUAGCUAAAUGCGGAAGAGAUAAGUGCUGAAAGCAUCUAAGCACGAAACUUGCCCCGAGAUGAGUUCUCCCUGAGACUUAGAGUCUCCUGAAGGAACGUUGAAGACGACGACGUUGAUAGGCCGGGUGUGUAAGCGCAGCGAUGCGUUGAGCUAACCGGUACUAAUGAACCGUGAGGCUUAACCUU
rnacentral:rRNA from 2 species